GGCGAACGGGUGCGUAACACGUGGGCAACAUUCCUGGAAGAGCGGGAUAGCCCGGGGAAACUCGGAUUAAUACCGCAUGUGACAACGGGGCGGCUUCGCCCUGUUUUCAAAGGUGGGGACCGCAAGGCCUGCCGCUUCCAGAUUGGCCCGCGUCCUAUCAGCUAGUUGGCGGGGUAAAGGCCCACCAAGGCGACGACGGGUAGCUGGUCUGAGAGGACGACCAGCCACACUGGAACUGAGACACGGUCCAGACACCUACGGGUGGCAGCAGUCGAGAAUCUUUCACAAUGGGGGAAACCCUGAUGGAGCGACGCCGCGUGGAGGAUGAGGGUCUUCGGAUUGUAAACUCCUGUCAUGAAAGAACAAGCGAUGCGGGUGAACAGCCCGCAAAGUUGAUAGUAUUUCAAGAGGAAGGGACGGCUAACUUCGUGCCAGCAGCCGCGGUAAUACGAAGGUCCCAAGCGUUGUUCGGAAUCACUGGGCGUAAAGAGUGCGUAGGCGGCGCGGAAAGUCAGAUGUGAAAUCCCGGGGCUCAACCUCGGAACGGCAUCCGAUACUCCCGCGCUUGAGGACUGGAGGGGAGUCUGGAAUUCAC
rnacentral:rRNA from 1 species